AUUUGGGUUAAUGUGACCCAGCGCAUGGGUCAAAUAUUUUCCCGCUCUUCCAUCUUUCUAGAACUUUCUACAGACAUCUUCUGACUCCUGCAGUUAGGAGCCUUAACGGGACAGCACACAGAGAGCAGUAAGUUGAUGCAGAUGAACUACUUUGAGGGGCAUUACCUGAGUGGCUGCUGGACACCUGGUAGAGACAGUUAAAGGUGGGGAGCAACCUGAUGGAAUCAACCAGUCCUACAAAAUCUGGGCCUCAAGGAUGAAACGACAACUUCCCAGGCUUCCUGUAUUUGUGACUGAAUCAUUCCUGGAGGCUGUUUUUGAAUGAUCUUUUGGUUUUUGAAGUGAACUACAAUAAACAAAGAGUUUCACCAGUACCUAGUGUACUGUAUUAAAGGACAAGGAAUCGCUGAGGUGCUAGGAAGCUAUUUUAAUUUAAGUUGUACUUUAUUAUUUUCAUAUACUGUAUUUAGAUUUUGAAUAUUUGUGCAAUUAAAAUAAAUACUAUUAUUAUUACUGUUAUUAAUGUUACUAUUAUUAUAUUUGUACAUUUUUUAUUAGAUUUACAGCUUAGGCAAGCCUGUCUUUGAAGGGUUUUAUUCAUUCUUGUUCUGGUUCUGUUCAUUGGCAACUGAACUUGCUCUUGUAAAUGUGUCAUUUUUCA